rnacentral:lncRNA from 1 species
GAGGCAAGACCGUAACAAUCAAUUGCUGGGGAUGCUACAAUGAGGAUUUAGGGACUGGAUAGAAAUUUAAACAGAGAAGUUUCCAAACAGGAGCCACCAUGAGGUCAGGGGGAGCCGGUAUUGAAAGCCCCGAGUGCCAGGCCUCUGCUACGCUCAGUCCUUCUGUUUGAUGUAUUGGGAUUUUGCAUAAACAUAUCAUUUGCUAUGAGUGUUCCAUUGCUUUAAAGCAAAAAACUCGAAAACAACUGG